GUGGGAAGUUGACCGACUUGCUAAGUUAACUGGUUGUCAAUUUUCUAGUAUGUUUCGUACUCAGAAUACAACACAUGUUAUCAUAAAAACAGAGAAGAAAAUGUUCCUAGUCGGCCAUAGAGCGGUAGUCACUGAAUAUUUCAAGGAUGCAAUAGUAUGUGGCGUGGCACCAAAAAUUCAAACAUGUAAAGUGCAAACAAAUAUACCCAUAUUGAAUACUCGCACUUGGUAGUUGUGGUUGCUGAGCGAAAAAGGAAGUUAAGGAAAAUAUCUAAAUGACAAAAAUAAUCCAAAAUCUAUGGUGUUGGUGCUUUUGACAUCUAAGAAACUCUCUAUGCUAAACAUUUUAUCAUAAAAUCUAUUGUAAGCGUUCAUGACUGGUCGAACAGUUUUUUAUAGAAAUCUAAAUUGUGCAUCGUAGAUUAGUUUUACUACAUUCAAGUAUGAUAAUGUUUGGUCAUAAAUUACUCCUUCAUCAUGGAGAGACAAGGCAACAUCGAUAUUGGUGCGUAAUUUUGUAUGUUAUUAUGUUCCCCUUUACAAAUAGGUGUUUUUUGCUGUUUUUAGCUCGCAUUGAAAUAUACCAGUCACCAGUGUAACAUUUAUAAUGUGGGAUAGGUUUUGAAAGAAUAUCAGAAUAGAGUUUUAUAUAUUGUGCACCUAUAUCAUAAUGUCCUGCAGAUUUGAUGAUGUUUAGUUUAUCAUUGAUCAAUAUAUUUCUUUAUAUCCGUCUCUGACACAGGUUUUAUCAUGGAGGUAUAAAAUUUUGUAUACCUCCAUGGUUUUACAAACAUAGAGCAACAUUGAUUAUUUUGACAGAAAUACAGUUAGUACUAUAUUAGUUUGUUCCUUAUUUUAAGUAAUCUUUUGCCUAUGUUAACAUAUAUAUCGUUAAAGCCUCA